rnacentral:rRNA from 1 species
GUGACUGCGUACCUUUUGUAUAAUGGGUCAGCGACUUAUAUUCUGUAGCAAGGUUAACCGAAUAGGGGAGCCGGAGGGAAACCGAGUCUUAAUUGGGCGUUAAGUUGCAGGGUAUAGACCCGAAACCCGGUGAUCUAGCCAUGGGCAGGUUGAAGGUUGGGUAACACUAACUGGAGGACCGAACCGACUAAUGUUGAAAAAUUAGCGGAUGACCUGUGGCUGGGGGUGAAAGGCCAAUCAAACCGGGAGAUAGCUGGUUCUCCCCGAAAGCUAUUUAGGUAGCGCCUCGUGAAUUCAUCUCCGGGGGUAGAGCACUGUUUCGGCUAGGGGGUCAUCCCGACUUACCAACCCGAUGCAAACUGCGAAUACCGGAGAAUGUUAUCACGGGAGACACACGGCGGGUGCUAACGUCCGUCGUGAAGAGGGAAACAACCCAGACCGCCAGCUAAGGUCCCAAAGUCAUGGUUAAGUGGGAAACGAUGUGGGAAGGCCCAGACAGCCAGGAUGUUGGCUUAGAAGCAGCCAUCAUUUAAAGAAAGCGUAAUAGCUCACUGGUCGAGUCGGCCUGCGCGGAAGAUGUAACGGGGCUAAACCAUGCACCGAAGCUGCGGCAGCGACACUCAGGUGUUGUUGGGUAGGGGAGCGUUCUGUAAGCCUGCGAAGGUGGCCUGUGAGGGUUGCUGGAGGUAUCAGAAGUGCGAAUGCUGACAUAAGUAACGAUAAAGCGGGUGAAAAGCCCGCUCGCCGGAAGACCAAGGGUUCCUGUCCAACGUUAAUCGGGGCAGGGUGAGUCGACCCCUAAGGCGAGGCCGAAAGGCGUAGUCGAUGGGAAACGGGUUAAUAUUCCCGUACUUGGUGUUACUGCGAAGGGGGGACGGAGAAGGCUAUGUUGGCCGGGCGACGGUUGUCCCGGUUUAAGCGUGUAGGUGUGUGUUCCAGGUAAAUCCGGUUCACUUUAACACUGAGGCGUGACGACGAGGCACUACGGUGCUGAAGCAACAAAUGCCCUGCUUCCAGGAAAAGCCUCUAAGCAUCAGGUAACAUCAAAUCGUACCCCAAACCGA